UGAGCCAAAAUUUGAAAUCCUCAUUUAAUAUAGGUUCUAUGGUCAAUCCUGCAGCGGAAAUAGCCGAAACGUAAUCUCUACCAUUUCCCAAGUGGUAAUGAACAACACAAGUAGAAAAAGAAGAUUAAAAAUUAAAAUUAGGCAACUGAUCUCAUUGCAGCUUCAUAGUCAUGUGUGUUUAUGGCAUCUCCCACCACUUUCGUAUUUAAUUGAAAAAAAUGUAUAUUUUUGUGAUGAAGUGUGUAAUGAAAUGAGCAAGACUUUUUUACAGUUGAGGAAAUUAUUGAUGAUAUUUAUUCUUCAGAUGAGCAAGAAGUUUACCCUUACACAAACGCAGACAAUGAGAGUGAUUUGGACAAUCAAACUGAUGAAAGUAGUGAUUCAGGUGAACAAAUACAAUAGUGGAGAGAUAGGCCUA